GUAAAAUGCAAGGUUCUAACUUCUCAAAGAGAUUGAGUAGAAUGGGUUUCGAUUAAAGUGAAAAAUAUUUCAAUUUUAAAUAGAUUUUGUUAAUUGGGAAGUGCAUGUUGGUUCCUUUUAGUUUCUUAAGUUCCUAGUGCAUUGGAAAAGGGAAUAGAAUGCACCAACUCUUGUUGCAUGAUAAAGGUUUAAAAAUUCAAGAUUUUG
rnacentral:misc_RNA from 1 species